CGGCGGACGGGUGAGUAACACGUGGAUAACCUACCUAUAAGACUGGGAUAACUUCGGGAAACCGGAGCUAAUACCGGAUAAUAUAUUGAACCGCAUGGUUCAAUAGUGAAAGACGGUUUUGCUGUCACUUAUAGAUGGAUCCGCGCCGCAUUAGCUAGUUGGUAAGGUAACGGCUUACCAAGGCAACGAUGCGUAGCCGACCUGAGAGGGUGGUCGGCCACACUGGAACUGAGACACGGUCCAG
rnacentral:rRNA from 1 species